rnacentral:rRNA from 1 species
UACGGAGGGGGCUAGCGUUGUUCGGAAUUACUGGGCGUAAAGCGUACGUAGGCGGCUUUGUAAGUUAGAGGUGAAAGCCCGGGGCUCAACUCCGGAAUUGACCUUUAAGACUGCAUCGCUUGAAUCAUGGAGAGGUUAGUGGAAUUCCGAGUGUAGAGGUGAAAUUCGUAGAUAUUCGGAAGAACACCAGUGGCGAAGGCGACUAACUGAACAUGUAUUGACGCUGAGGUACGAAAGCGUGGGGAGCAAACAGG